rnacentral:rRNA from 1 species
UACGUAGGGGGCAAGCGUUGUCCGGAUUUAUUGGGCGUAAAGAGCGUGUAGGCGGCUCGGUAGGUCUGUUGUGAAAACUCGAGGCUCAACCUCGAGACGUCGAUGGAAACCAUCUAGCUAGAGUCCGGAAGAGGAGAGUGGAAUUCCUGGUGUAGCGGUGAAAUGCGCAGAUAUCAGGAAGAACACCCGUGGCGAAGGCGGCUCUCUGGUACGUGACUGACGCUGAGACGCGAAAGCGUGGGGAGCGAACAGG